CCUACGGGUGGCAGCAGUGGGGAAUAUUGGACAAUGGGCGAAAGCCUGAUCCAGCCAUGCCGCGUGUGUGAAGAAGGCCUUCGGGUUGUAAAGCACUUUCAGUGGGGAAGAAAGCCUUGGGGCUAAUACCCUCGAGGAAGGACAUCACCCACAGAAGAAGCACCGGCUAACUCCGUGCCAGCAGCCGCGGUAAUACGGAGGGUGCGAGCGUUAAUCGGAAUUACUGGGCGUAAAGCGCGCGUAGGCGGUCUGAUAAGCCGGUUGUGAAAGCCCCGGGCUCAACCUGGGAACGGCAUCCGGAACUGUCAGGCUAGAGUGCAGGAGAGGAAGGUAGAAGUCCCGGUGUAGCGGUGAAAUGCGUAGAGAUCGGGAGGAAUACCAGUGGCGAAGGCGGCCUUCUGGACUGACACUGACGCUGAGGUGCGAAAGCGUGGGUAGCAAACAGGAUUAGAUACCCCUGUAGUC
rnacentral:rRNA from 1 species